rnacentral:rRNA from 1 species
UACGGGGGGGGCAAGCGUUGUUCGGAAUUAUUGGGCGUAAAGAGCGUGUAGGCGGCCAGAUAGGUCCGUUGUGAAAACUGGAGGCUUAACCUCCAGCUGUCGAUGGAAACCAUCUGGCUAGAGUCCGGAAGAGGAGAGUGGAAUUCCUGGUGUAGCGGUGAAAUGCGCAGAUAUCAGGAAGAACACCCGUGGCGAAGGCGGCUCUCUGGGACGGUACUGACGCUGAGACGCGAAAGCGUGGGGAGCGAACAGG